rfam:Burkholderiales bacterium 68-12 scnpilot_p_inoc_scaffold_958, whole genome shotgun sequence.
UCGCGGGCGACUGCGAAUCUGAAGGAAGCCGGAGGCAAAGUGCUGGCCUGACGAGCAGGAAGCAGAGAUAAGGCGGCGCAUCGGGGUAAGGCGGCCCAUAUCGUCAAAGCCCUGUACUUGCACGGAACGAUGCGACGUAAAUCUGACAGGCAUAAGCAUGAAGGUCACGCGA